UACGUAGGGGGCAAGCGUUGUCCGGAAUCAUUGGGCGUAAAGCGCGUGUAGGCGGCUCAGUAAGUCCGCUGUGAAAGCCCGGGGCUCAACCCCGGGAGGCGGGUGGAUACUGCUGAGCUUGAGUCCGGAAGAGGCGAGUGGAAUUCCCGGUGUAGCGGUGAAAUGCGCAGAUAUCGGGAGGAACACCAAUGGCGAAGGCAGCUCGCUGGGACGUGACUGACGCUGAGACGCGAAAGCGUGGGGAGCAAACAGG
rnacentral:rRNA from 1 species